rnacentral:lncRNA from 1 species
CCAGGGUUCAUGGAAGGAGGGUGAGAGAGAUGAUUGAGAACGAUGGGGCCGACAGUUAUUCUGCUGGAACAACCGGAAGAAUGGGGAGCGAGACAUGGGAGGAGGAGUACCGCCAGGAGAAGAAACUCAGGCAAGAGGAGGAGAGUGUAGACCAAAAGCUGCAAAAGAUGAGAGAGCAGCUCUUGGCCGAGCUGGGGACGAAGGAUCAGAACCAAACUAUCUUGCCCACCUCUUCACCCUUCUCGAAGUGGGUACAACAGGAG